GGGUGCGAUCUCUGGCCUCUAAACCUAGCGCCACAAUGCCACACCGACGCUCUCUACCAAGAUCCUGCUCCUCCUCACCCCAGACUCGCUAUAGCAGGUCCACCCCCCUCGCCCGUCGGCCGCCAACAGUAGGCUCGGGGACCCAGGCCUCCAGGCGGUGGCCCAGCCCCACUCCGGCGGCCUCGACCUGCAGCUCUGGCACACGAUGCGCUCCGGCUGAAAGGGAAGAUGACGGGUGGCGGAGUGGGCAACGGAACUGGACAUCGCCACCUCCUCCUAGUGAGAUCGUACCGAGAUACGACCUGACAGGAAGGUAGAAGAGGAACAAGAUCGACGAGGAGGACAAAAGCUGUUUUAUUUGUUCGCCCACGGCAACAAUGCUAUCAGAGACUUAAUUAGUUUAUAUAAUCUUUGGGGGGAAAUUGUAUGCCCCGGUGACGACUCCUACCCGGCCCUCCAUUUGCUCGCCCGACAUCCUCUAUCUCUAAGAACCCGAUGUCUUGCAACCAGAAAAAUCCAACAAGGGUCCUCGCCAUGUGAAGCUCGUUUCCAUCAGGUAGGCUAACCUCGUGCUUGACACUGUCGACCAGCAGCAAGGCGGCAAAUUCAUUUAUAUGUGAGUCGAUCUAAUUUUUUGUUUUAGUUUUUCUACCAAUUCAUUCCAAAUAAAAAAUUGGAGCCGCUCCCUUGAUGCGUACUUAGUUGUGGAGGAGAAACUUGACAUUGUACAUUAGAUUAUCCUAUUAAGAUAGGACAACACUGCUUUGCUGGGUUUUUUUCUGAACUCUCGUCUGUUUACUAAUUAAACAUUUAGACUUCCACUUCAAUUUAGACUACUACUUCAAUUUACACAUAGCUUUUUUCGUUGUUUACUCCCAAAUUAUUGGCACUCACAUAUGCAGGUGCUUGAUAAAAAGCCUCUGAUAAUAUCCUGAUUGAAUAGGAUGGUCAGUGUUCUUAACACAUUUUUCUUUUUCAUGCAGUUAAUAAUAGUUGUGUAUCAACUGUCAAAUCACCUUCCCCCCCCCACUCCCAUAACUAAAAUUAAGAGCUUUGCGCCCACAUUCUAACAUUUCUUAGAAUUAACAUGGCUUCUACUCUAAACAGAGAGAUCAACUCACACAUGCAGUUUCUCACCUGUAGAAACUUUUCUCAAGUUGUCAGAUAAAGAGCAUCGUGGAUGGAUAUAUUAUCAUGUUUGUAUGUAUCUAUACUUCAUAUGGGCACAUGAAAUCUACACGGCAAGAUUGAACUUCUGCAGUGCAUGUUUACUCGAUGUGAAAAUCUUCUAUGUGCGGGAUUUGAAGGCAGUUGCCACAAGGAUAAGCUAGAGAAGCAGAGAAAACAAGGAGCCAUUGUUCCAUUAUCAACAUGUAGAAACUAAAACUCAUAUAGAUAUGUUUCAUGUAGUUUGCGCAUGUAAUUGUUUAUAGGAGAUGUGUACAACUGAGUUUGUAAACUAUUACUACUCAGGGUAAUACAAUGUUAUUAUCUCGUGCCAUGCCAUACAAGUUUUGAA